rnacentral:rRNA from 1 species
GACGAACGCUGGCGGCGCGCCUAACACAUGCAAGUCGAACGAGCGAGAGAGAGCUUGCUUUCUUGAGCGAGUGGCGAACGGGUGAGUAACGCGUGAGGAACCUGCCUCAAAGAGGGGGACAACAGUUGGAAACGACUGCUAAUACCGCAUAAGCCCACGGUGCCGCAUGGCACAGAGGGAAAAGGAGCAAUCCGCUUUGAGAUGGCCUCGCGUCCGAUUAGCUAGUUGGUGAGGUAACAGCCCACCAAGGCGACGAUCGGUAGCCGGACUGAGAGGUUGAACGGCCACAUUGGGACUGAGACACGGCCCAGACUCCUACGGGAGGCAGCAGUGGGGAAUAUUGCACAAUGGGGGAAACCCUGAUGCAGCGACGCCGCGUGGAGGAAGAAGGUCUUCGGAUUGUAAACUCCUGUUGUUGGGGAAGAUAAUGACGGUACCCAACAAGGAAGUGACGGCUAACUACGUG